rnacentral:snRNA from 1 species
GGAUGUAACUGGCUGCAGUAUCUGUCGCCCCAUUGAUCACCAGGGUUCAUUUGGCUGAUGUAGCUAGCUAGGCAGGUGUCCCUUCCCGCCCUCCCCACUCCAUGUGUGACCCUCCUGAAGCUGUGGGUUGGUGGAAGUGGAUGUUUUCGUGGUUGAGGGUAUAUGAAUAGCAGGUACCCCUCCUCAGAUCUCCAAACAAGCUCUCACGAUGACCACUAAAUACACACAAAGGUGCUCAGCUUUAUUAAUCAGCAGAGAAAUGCAUAUGAAAACAAGUAU